CUUCAAACAAAAGGGACUUUAACCCCUACCCCUAACUCCCAAAGCUAGGAUCCUAAUUU
rnacentral:tRNA from 1 species